UUUGUCCGCGGAUGACCUUUACGUAAUUAUCCUUAUCUACAUUGCCUGACAUGUCCCGCUCGACACGGGAAUGCGGUGAUGACAACCAGAACGCCUGAGGACAAA
rnacentral:snoRNA from 1 species